rnacentral:rRNA from 1 species
CCUACGGGAGGCAGCAGUGAGGAAUAUUGGUCAAUGGGCGGGAGCCUGAACCAGCCAAGCCGCGUGAAGGAAGAAGGCGCCAAGCGUCGUAAACUUCUUUUGUCGGGGAGCAAAGUCACCCACGUGUGGGUGUUGGAGAGUACCUGAAGAAAAAGCAUCGGCUAACUCCGUGCCAGCAGCCGCGGUAAUACGGAGGAUGCGAGCGUUAUCCGGAUUUAUUGGGUUUAAAGGGUGCGUAGGCGGGUUAUCAAGUCAGCGGUAAAAUCGUGGAGCUCAACUCCAUCCAGCCGUUGAAACUGAUGAUCUUGAGUGGGCGAGAAGUAUGCGGAAUGCGUGGUGUAGCGGUGAAAUGCAUAGAUAUCACGCAGAACUCCGAUUGCGAAGGCAGCAUACCGGCGCCCGACUGACGCUGAAGCACGAAAGCGUGGGUAUCGAACAGGAUUAGAUACCCCAGUAGUC